AUCUCCUGCAUCCCCUGGAGUGUAGG
rnacentral:piRNA from 1 species